rnacentral:misc_RNA from 1 species
AACAUCGCGCACCUGCGGGAACCUGCGGAAGGAUCAUUACAGAGUUGCAAAACUCCCCAAACCAUUGUGAACGUUACCUAAACCGUUGCUUCGGCGGGCGGCCCGGGUCCUUCCCGGCGCCCAUCGGCCCUCGCGGGCGCCCGCCGGAGGUAAACCAAACUAUUGCAUUGUAUGGCCUCUCUGAGUCUUCUGUACUGAAUAAGUCAAAACUUUCAACAACGGAUCUCAGAUCGGAAGAGC